rnacentral:rRNA from 1 species
GUUUGAUCAUGGCUCAGAUUGAACGCUGGCGGCGUGCUUAACACAUGCAAGUCGAUCGGUAACAGGUGUAGCAAUACAUGCUGACGAGAGGCGGACGGGUGAGGAAUAUUUGGGAAUCUGCCCAUCAGCGGGGGACAACCCGGGGAAACUCGGGCUAAUACCGCAUACGCUCUACGGAGGAAAGCCGGGGACCGCAAGGCCUGGCACUGAUGGAUGAGCCCAAAUCGGAUUAGCUAGUUGGCGGGGUAACGGCCCACCAAGGCGACGAUCCGUAGCUGGUCUGAGAGGACGAUCAGCCACACCGGAACUGAGACACGGUCCGGACUCCUACGGGAGGCAGCAGUGGGGAAUAUUGGACAAUGGGGGAAACCCUGAUCCAGCGACGCCGCGUGGGUGAAGAAGGCCUGCGGGUUGUAAAGCCCUUUCGGUAGGGAAGAAAUCUCUUGCUCUAACAAAGCAAGGGUUUGACUUAACCUACAUAAGAAGCACCGGCUAACUCUGUGCCAGCAGCCGCGGUAAUACAGAGGGUGCGAGCGUUAAUCGGAAUUACUGGGCGUAAAGCGCACGUAGUCGGCUUGCCAAGUCGGGUGUGAAAUCCCCGGGCUCAACCUGGGAACUGCAUCCGAAACUGGCUUGCUAGAGUAUGGGAGAGGGAGGCGGAAUUUCUGGUGUAGCAGUGAAAUGCGUAGAUAUCAGAAGGAACAUCAGUGGCGAAGGCGGCCUCCUGGACCAAUACUGACGAUCAGGUGCGAAAGCGUGGGGAGCAAACAGGAUUAGAUACCCUGGUAGUCCACGCCCUAAACGAUGACAACUGGAUGUCGGGAGGGUUUGCCUUCCGGUGUCGUAGCUAACGCGUUAAGUUGUCCGCCUGGGAAGUAC